AAUGGUGAAGAGAGGACAAAUCUCCUGGCCAACCUUUCCCUUGGCCGGUGAUAUCUUCAUCACACCCUUUUUGUUUUUUCUUUUUUUAGAUACAAAGGUUGUUCACCCUACUCUAGUAUACGUGUAGCUAGCAGAAUCAAGAGCAACAAUCUGACACAAUAGUGAAGGAGGGAUCUUCUGGUGUGUCCAGAGGACCUAUCCGGAGUGUUGUGCAGCAUAAUCCCCCUCGAGGAUGAUGCGCUCCGCUUUCAGCCUAUGUCUUGCAUAGAAGAUGCUUUCCCAUACUGCCCUGAGUUCCACCCCUAUAGCUGUCAACCCAUCGGUACAUGCUUCGUGUCAUGCCCCUGCCUGCGUGGGGCACGUGAGGCACCCAAUGCUCACGUGGGGGCCACAUGAGAGGGGAAUACGGAACUUUCCUGCCAGAUAUUGUCCGGUUCCGGAGCUUCACGCAAGCGUCCUUCACCCCUCCUCGGUUUUGUUUUCCA
rnacentral:lncRNA from 1 species